AAAUUGAAGAGUUUGAUCAUGGCUCAGAUUGAACGCUGGCGGCAGGCCUAACACAUGCAAGUCGAACGGUAACAGGAAGCAGCUUGCUGCUUUGCUGACGAGUGGCGGACGGGUGAGUAAUGUCUGGGAAACUGCCUGAUGGAGGGGGAUAACUACUGGAAACGGUGGCUAAUACCGCAUAACGUCGCAAGACCAAAGAGGGGGACCUUCGGGCCUCUUGCCAUCAGAUGUGCCCAGAUGGGAUUAGCUAGUUGGUGAGGUAACGGCUCACCAAGGCGACGAUCCCUAGCUGGUCUGAGAGGAUGACCAGCCACACUGGAACUGAGACACGGUCCAGACUCCUACGGGAGGCAGCAGUGGGGAAUAUUGCACAAUGGGCGCAAGCCUGAUGCAGCCAUGCCGCGUGUAUGAAGAAGGCCUUCGGGUUGUAAAGUACUUUCAGCGGGGAGGAAGGUGUUG
rnacentral:rRNA from 12 species